rnacentral:sRNA from 1 species
ACUUCCGGGGGUCAGCCGGCGUUGGCUGAGACGUCUUCGUGCCACGGUGCUGCCUCCCUUCCAAGCGCGACCCGUUGAGGUCCUUGUCAUGCCCAGCCUCAGAACUCGCCGUGAGGAGGCAGAGAUGGAGCUCUCAGCUCCAGGACCAUCCCCUUGGACCCCUGCAGCCCAGGCCCGUGUGAGUGAUGCUCCUGCUGUGACCCACCCUGGAUCUGCAGCCUGUGGUACCCCCUGCUGUAGUGAUACUGAGCUGGAAGCCAUCUGCCCUCACUAUCAGCAGCCAGGUACUUUAAGAACAGUUCUCCGCUGGUGCCCUUAUUCUGGGGAAGUGAUGUCCAUGGAACCCAGUGCUUACCCCUAGGAGGCAUCUGUGUCAUCACAGAUUGUGACACCAGGACUGAAGACAAGGAGUUUCUUCACAAGGAAGACAUUCAUGAAGAUUUGGAAUCACAGGCAGAAAUAUCAGAAAACUAUGCUGGUGAUGUUUUCCAGGUACCCAAGCUUGGAGAUCUGUGUGAUGAUGUAUCAGAAAGAGACUGGGGAGUCCCCGAAGGCAGGAGGCUGCCAC